AAUGAGGAACAAAAAGUGGAGUGCGGAUGAUAAACUGCACAGACACAAAAGGGUACUGGCUGAAUUGAAAGUAUAAGUCUGGUGUUAUUCUAUAUUUAAGAGAUCCAGUUAAAUCCAAAUAAAUAUGAAUUUAUUAUUGGAAACUUAAUUCUCCUUAUUUGUUGAAUUGUAGGUUAUGCUUGCAUGUGAUUUACAACCACACAGAAAUUAUACAAAAACACAGAUUUGAUAUUUUUGUAUUUUCAGCUGACCUGUAAAAUAAAUCAAAGUGUACCAGUUAAACUGGUGAGCUGAGCAGCGCAGGGAAAUGGAGUCAGAGGAGGAAUCAGAGCGCAAAAUUAGAAACGAGGACCCGAGAGGAUUUGAAAAGAAAAACAAAAGGAAGAAGAGUAACUCAAGUGAACCCAGUCAGAAAGAGGAGAAGUAUCUUGUUGGUAUGGUAACUGUGACACAAACAGACGGCAUUUUCAAGAAUCCACAUGAGGUCGUAAAGUUUGUAGGAGGAAAGCUCGGAGAUGUAAGAUCAGUCAGGAUAACAAGAAGUGGGAUGGUUAUCAAAAUGUCAGAGAGAGAGAGCCCUGAAGAUUCAUGCAUUUAGAGAUCACAGCAGCGUGAACUGCUUCCCACUCGGAGCAGAAAUAAAGAAGAAGGGAGUAGUAGGCCGAGUCAUUUCAGGAGGUUGAAGAUGCGUGUGAGGCAAGAAGGCUGAAGAUUCAGAAAAAGGGAGGAGGAGGACAGUAAUUCAGUGUGUUUGACGUUUAAAGGGGGAAUUACCGGAAAGAGUGGAUCUGGAUUAUGUGUGUUACAGGGUGAGGCCAUAUGAGAGAGCGCCUCUCAGGUGUUUCUAUUGUCAGGAAUAUGGACAUGUUGCUGCAAGAUGUAGAGGAGGCAGAAGAUGUGGGAGAUGUGGAAAGGAAAACUAAUGUGGAGAAGUGUAAAGUGGAGAAAGAGGAAGCAAAGUGCCUGCACUGUGAGGGAAAACCACCAUACGGGAUCAGCACAGUGUCCAAAAAGAAUUAAGGAAGUAAAAAUGAAUAAGAUCAGAGCAGAAAAGGGAAAGUCAUAUGCGGAAGCUGCUGAGAGAAUGGAGAGAAACGGUGAAAUGGUGGCAGUGCAAAAGGAAAAGGAGAAGAAAGGAAAUGGAGAUGAGUAGAACAUCAGUAUAUACAAGAAACGAUUUCUGGCAUUCGUUGCCAUGGUUAUAAAUUGUGCGGCUGAAAUAAAGGGGAAGUCGGAAAGGAUUAAGAUGGCGCUGGAUGCUGCAAGAAGGUUCUUGAAUGUUGUGGACACAUCUGGAGAGGAUCUGGAUGUUACACUGAGGGAAGGAGUUGCACCAACUCAGACAUUUGGGUCUGGGUUAUAGAAUGGACUAUGGCAUGGGACUGUAAAUAGUUUAAACUGCGAAGCUGUUAAAAUCCAGUAGGUGGCGGUAAUGCACAAUUAGGUAUGCCAACGGCCAUAAAACUCAACAGAAGAAGAAGACGAAGAAGAAGAACUGUCUCUGUUUUCUACGGAAGCCCUGAGAGUUCUUAUGCACGGAUUCGUGGGGACUCGAAGGCUCUGAUGAGGAGGGGGUUGCCGUAGUCCAGGUGGGAGAUGACAAACACCUGGAUGAGCACCUGAGCUGCCUCUCUAGUGAGGCGGUGGCGAAUCCUCCUGAUGCCGCGCAGGAGGAAACUACACGAGCAGGGUCACACCCCUCUCCGUCUGAGGCGACAUCACCGCCAACUCUCAUCUGGUCCCACGAAGAAACACAAGCUCAGUCUGGUCCUGGUCCCGGUCCAGCUUUAGCCGUUACAUCCGCUCUGAAAUACCUGCCAGGUGAGCAGGGAUGCCUCCACCUGCCUGUCAGAUGGAGGUAAUGACAACCUUUAUACAAGAUGAGUCUCUGAGGUUCAAAGGUCACUCUUAACCUUGGAAACAGCCACAGUUUAAAUUUGAACACGGGGUCACACCUGUGCUGAUGAAGAUCAUGUGGUGUGAUUGAAAGCUCCAGCUACUAAAUGAACCUUGUGGUCAGAUUGUUUUCUUAAAGGAUGGAUCUCCUUUUCUGAUGGUCUUUCUUGUACAGUUCAGGCUUUAUUAAAAUGAUUGAUCCCAUCGAUGAUUAUCUUCUGACAUUUUGAUUGAUUUCAACUGCUUUCAUCUCUUACACUUCAACUGCUUUCAUCUCUUACACUUCAACUGACAGUUCCACUGCUUUCAUCUCUUUGCUUUCAUCUCUUACACUUCAACUGCUUUCAUCUCUUACACUUCAACUGGCAGUUCCACUGCUUUCAUCUCUUAUUCUCUGACUUAGAGCUUAUCUGCUUUCAGUGAUUUACCUCAUGUGACACUUCAUCUCCUUUCAAUGCUUACACUUCAGUCCUUUUCAGACCUCAGAUCUACACCUUUGAACAAAGACGCACUUCCAUUGUAACUGCCAUUUUUUUUCCAUUUUAAUAAUUUUCAGCAAUUUUAUUUCGACUGCCACUUCAACUUCUUUCAGUAUUUCAACAAUUUCAGAUGUUUCAACUGCAAAUUCUCAGCAGUGAACUCUUUUAAAGAAAGUUUAACCUUUUCUAGAUUUUAAUAAACUCAAAAUUGUCUUUUGUUUUUAUUUGAUGUUUUCCGUAAACACAUCUGAUGUUAGUCAAAGUCCGCGCUGGAAAGUAAAUAAGUACAUUUACUCACGUAAUGACUAAAGUCGAGGUAUUUACUUACUUUAUUAUUUCCAUUUCAUGCUACUUUAUACUUCUACUCCUCAUUUAUCUGACAGCUUUAGUUACUUUUCAAGAUUUUAUGUUAAUAACAUUUCCGGUGACUUUUUAAAACAUGAAGCAUUUUUACAGAUUAAACAGUUUAUGAAGUAGUUAAAAUUAAUAAAAUUAAAAUAAUUAAUUAAAAUUAGCUCCACGUCGACCAACUACAAAGUAAAGUACAGCUUACAUAUUAAUACAUCAAUAAUAAUGAUCCUUUAAUAUGAUAAUAUAACACUGAAAAGGGCCAUUCGGCAUGAUGAGUGCUUUUAAUUUAGCUGAUAAUACUUUUAGUUAAGUAAAAUUACUUUUACUUGUAAUAUUCAUAGUAUUUUUACUUUUUGUUACUACUUUUACUGAAGUAAAUGGCUUGAAUACUUCUCUCAGCUCAUUGACCUUCGUUUGUUUGCUGUAUGCUGUGAGGUGUCUCUGGUGUCCUCUGAUUGGUUGCUUUUCCCAGGUGAUGUCAGUAUAAAGAAGUGGCACCAGCUCUGUUUCGACAGGUGAAUCUGAACCAGACGAAGGUCGAUUAAAUAAAGUGUUCUCUGGUUCCUUCUCAGUUUAGACUUGUUGCUCGUUCACACCUGUCAGUGUAUUUGUCUGUUUUAUUGUGAAAAAUAUAGAUUAUUGGACUGUUUCCUGUGUGAACAGAGUCUGAGCUGCAGACUGAACUCCACUGAAGGACGACGACGACGAUGAUGAUGAGGACGACCUCCAGACAGCGUCCUCGCUCCUAACGAUGUUCAGGCCUUCAGGUGAGCUGCAGGGGCUGAUGGGAUGUCUGAUGGAGAGGACAGACAGAGUGGGCAGCUACCAUGUUCAAAUGAAUGGAUUUCAAUGAGGAAAGUGAAUUAUGGAGAUAUAUAUAUAUAUGUGUGUGUGUGUGUGUAUAUAUAAAUGUGAAACACGUCCUGAC